rnacentral:rRNA from 1 species
AAGUCGUAACAAGGUUUCCGUAGGUGAACCUGCGGAAGGAUCAUUACCGAGUUAGGGUCUUAUGGCCCGACCUCCAACCCCAUGUCUACUAUACCGUGUUGCUUUGGCGGGUCCGCCCUUUGGGGCCGCCGGGGGCAUUACUGCUCCUGGCCCCGUGCCUGCCAGUAGCCUCUUUAAAUUCUUUUUUAUAACCUUUGUCGUCUGAGUCCAAAUAUCAAAUCAUUUUAAAACUUUCAACAACGGAUCUCUUGGUUCUGGCAUCGAUGAAGAACGCAGCGAAAUGCGAUAAGUAAUGCGAAUUGCAGAAUUCAGUGAGUCAUCGAAUCUUUGAACGCACAUUGCGCCCUUUGGUAUUCCGAAGGGCAUGCCUGUUCGAGCGUCAUUAUCAAACCAUCAAGCGUGGCUUGUCGUUGGACCCGUUCGUCGCCCGGCGACAGAUCCAAAAGAUAGUGACCGGCGUCGCGGUGACCCUACAUGCAACGAGCUUGUAAGAGCAUGCACUUAGUGGUCGUCCGGCUCGGUUAUCACCCUUUAUUUUCUCAAGGUUGACCUCGGAUCAGGUAGGAAUACCCGCUGAACUUAAGCAUAUCAAUAAGCGGAGGAAAAGAAACCAACAGGGAUUACCCUAGUAACGGCGAGUGAAGCGGUAACAGCUCAAAUUUGAAAUCUGGCCUUCACGGGUCCGAGUUGUAAUUUGUAGAGGAUGUUUCGGGCAAGGCUGUGGUUUAAGUUUCUUGGAACAGAACGUCAUAGAGGGUGAGAGUCCCGUCUAGAACCGAUGGCCGCGUCCAUGUGAAACUCCCUCGACGAGUCGAGUUGUUUGGGAAUGCAGCUCAAAAUGGGUGGUAAAUUUCAUCUAAAGCUAAAUAUUGGCCAGAGACCGAUAGCGCACAAGUAGAGUGAUCGAAAGAUGAAAAGCACUUUGAAAAGAGAGUUAAACAGUAUGUGAAAUUGUUGAAAGGGAAGCGCUUGCAACCAGACUUGUGUAUAGCGGUUCCCCCGGUCCUCUAAUCGGGUUAUUCUGUUAUAUUCAGGCCAGCAUCGGUUUGGGUGGUCGGUUAAAGGUCCCGGGAAUGUAUCUACCUUCGGGUCGACUUAUAGCCCAGGGCGUAAUGCGGCCUAUCUGGACCGAGGAACGCGCUUUUGCUCGGAUGCUGGCGUAAUGGUUGUAAGCGGCC